GUACCCGCUGAACUUAAGCAUAUCAAUAAGCGGAGGAAAAGAAACCAACAGGGAUUGCCCCAGUAACGGCGAGUGAAGCGGCAACAGCUCAAAUUUGAAAUCUGGCCCCUCUCGGGGUCCGAGUUGUAAUUUGUAGAGGAUGCUUUUGGCGAGGCGCCGCCCGAGUUCCCUGGAACGGGACGCCACAGAGGGUGAGAGCCCCGUCUGGCUGGCCGCCGAGCCUCUGUAAAGCUCCUUCGACGAGUCGAGUAGUUUGGGAAUGCUGCUCAAAAUGGGAGGUAUAUGUCUUCUAAAGCUAAAUACUGGCCAGAGACCGAUAGCGCACAAGUAGAGUGAUCGAAAGAUGAAAAGCACCUUGAAAAGAGGGUUAAAUAGUACGUGAAAUUGUUGAAAGGGAAGCGCUUGUGACCAGACUUGGGCGCGGCGGAUCAUCCGGGGUUCUCCCCGGUGCACUUCGCCGCGUCCAGGCCAGCAUCAGUUCGUCGCGGGGGAUAAAGGCUUCGGGAACGUGGCUCCCCCGGGAGUGUUAUAGCCCGUUGCACAAUACCCUGCGGUGGACUGAGGACCGCGCAUCUGCAAGGAUGCUGGCGUAAUGGUCACCAGCGACCCGUCUUGAAACACGGACCAAGGAGUCGUCUUCGUAUGCGAGUGUUCGGGUGUCAAACCCCUACGCGUAAUGAAAGUGAACGCAGGUGAGAGCUUCGGCGCAUCAUCGACCGAUCCUGAUGUUCUCGGAUGGAUUUGAGUAAGAGCAUACGGGGCCGGACCCGAAAGAAGGUGAACUAUGCCUGUAUAGGGUGAAGCCAGAGGAAACUCUGGUGGAGGCUCGCAGCGGUUCUGACGUGCAAAUCGAUCGUCAAAUAUGGGCAUGGGGGCGAAAGACUAAUCGAACCUUCUAGUAGCUGGUUUCCGCCGAAGUUUCCCUCAGGAUAGCAGUGUUGAGCUCAGUUUUAUGAGGUAAAGCGAAUGAUUAGGGACCAGGGGGCGCUAUAUUGCCUUCAUCCAUUCUCAAACUUUAAAUAUGUAAGAAGCCCUUGUUACUUAGUUGAACGUGGGCAUUCGAAUGUAUCAACACUAGUGGGCCAUUUUUGGUAAGCAGAACUGGCG
rnacentral:rRNA from 1 species